GACGAACGCUGGCGGCGUGCCUAAUACAUGCAAGUUGAGCGCUGAAGGUUGGUACUUGUGCCGACUGGAUGAGCAGCGAACGGGUGAGUAACGCGUGGGGAAUCUGCCUUUGAGCGGGGGACAACAUUUGGAAACGAAUGCUAAUACCGCAUAAAAACUUUAAACACAAGUUUUAAGUUUGAAAGAUGCAAUUGCAUCACUCAAAGAUGAUCCCGCGUUGUAUUAGCUAGUUGGUGAGGUAAAGGCUCACCAAGGCGAUGAUACAUAGCCGACCUGAGAGGGUGAUCGGCCACAUUGGGACUGAGACACGGCCCAAACUCCUACGGGAGGCAGCAGUAGGGAAUCUUCGGCAAUGGACGAAAGUCUGACCGAGCAACGCCGCGUGAGGGAAGAAGGUUUUCGGAUCGUAAAACUCUGUUGGUAGAGAAGAACGUUGGUGAGAGUGGAAAGCUCAUCAAGUGACGGUAACUACCCAGAAAGGGACGGCUAACUACGUG
rnacentral:rRNA from 1 species